rnacentral:rRNA from 1 species
AUUGAACGCUGGCGGCAGGCUUAACACAUGCACGUCGAACGAGUGGCGGACGGGUGAGUAAUGCUUGGGAAUCUGGCUGAUGGAGGGGGAUAACUACGGGAAACUGUAGAUAAUACCGAGUACCAUAGGAUGAGCCCAAGUGGGAUUAGGUAGUUGGUGAGGUAAAGGCUCACCAAGCCGACGAUCACUAGCUGGGCUGAGAGGAUGAACAGCCACACUGGGACUGAGACACGGCCCAGACUCCGACGGUAGGCAUCAGUGGGGAAUAUUGCGCAAUGGGGGCAACCUGACGCAGCCAUGCCGCGUGAAUGAAGAAGGCCUUCGGGUUGUAAAGUUCUUUCGGUAGCGAGGCGUUAACUACAGAAGAAGCACCGGCUAACUCCGUGCCAGCAGCCGCGGUAAUUC